UUAGGAAUUAGUUAUUUUAAUAAUAGAGUAGGAUUCCAAAUUUGCUUUAAUUAGUUCAGGUGCAUUUGUUAAACACGAAUAUGCCAAACCUGUAAUCAGGGCGAAGCUUAUUUAUUUCACUCCGGAUGUGCUGACCUCUGUGAUUUCCCCAAAUGUGGGAAACUUGACUGCAUAAUUUAGUGGGGGACUGCGUUCUCACUUUCUCAGGUUAGAAAAAAUAUGUAUAGACAGCACAUCAAUCAUGAUUCCAAGUUGAAAAUUGCUUAGAAAGAUUUUUAUACAUUAGGUACUCUUAGUACAAAUAUAUCAAAUAUCAAAUAUGAAAAUGAGCUGCUUAAUUUGGAUACUGAAGGCAUUGCAAAUGAUUGUUUUCUAACUCUUUAAGAUUUUUUUUUAUUUUGUAUUUUUUAGAUGGAGUCUCUCUCUGUCUCCCAGGCUGAAGUGCAAUAACGCAAUCUCGGCUCACUGCAACCUUUGCCUCCCGGGUUCAAGCGAUUCUCCGCCUUAGCCUCUCAAGUAGCUGGCAUCACAGGCGCCCACCACCACGCCCAGGGGCUUUUUCCUGUUGCUGGGCACUUUUCCUUGCUGCCAUCGUGUGAAGAAUGACAUGUUCGCUUUCCCUUCCACCAUGAUUAAGUGCAUUUCGCCUCCUGCCAUGAUUCUGAGGCCUCCCCAGCCAUGUGAAACUGUAAGUCCAAUUAAACCUCUUUUUCUUCCCAGGCUCACGUAUGUCUUUAUCAGCAGCAUGAAAACGGAUGAAUACACUAUUCUUAAUUGAUAUGCCAACACAAAUAUAGAGACACAUAUCAACAUAUAUACACAAAAUGCAAACAAAAUUGUUUGCAGCUCUAAGUAGAUGUAAGUAUACUUUUCCUUCUUCAGUGGAAACAAAGGUAUCGUAAUUGUUUCUGCCUACAGGUUAUGCUUCAACAUUGAUUAUGUGAUAGUAGCAUCACCGUUGUGCAGAGAAGGCAAUACAUUAGUAAUCAUAGAGGGGUGCAAAAAUCCAUCAUGGCUAGUAACUCAAAUCUCAAAUGCUCUGACCUUGACCCUAUAGCCUUGAUUUUUAUUAAAAAAAAGAUUAUAACCAAAAUUAUAGUUAAACUUUAGGUUGACUUAAAGGUCUUUAAUUAUUUUUAAUGAUUUAAGAUCAUUAAAGAUCUUUAAAUCCAUCUAAAGUUUGUUAAAGAUAAUGAAACUUCUCAUCUUAACUCUAUCUUGUGCUUUUUCUAGGAAACCAUAGUAAUAAGAAAUGCCUCAAAUAUACUCAGAACUGUAUUUUAUAAAGGGAUCACAAAGACACAGUGCCAGAAGACCUUAGACAAGAGUGUAUGAAGGGCACAAAAGUAGGAGAGAAAUUAGUGAAGACAUAGUACUCGAAAAAUAAUAGACUUUCCCCUCUUGUAUUUCCAUUUUUGAGAGCGAAAACUUGUGACAGAAUAUUUAGAAACAUAUUAGAGAUACAUAAUUUCGUCCUUAUUUAUUUAUUUAUUUAUUUUUUGAAACAGAGUCUUGCUCUGUCGCUCAGGC
rnacentral:lncRNA from 1 species